UGNUAGUCCAUGCUGUAAACGGUGGGCGUUAGGUGUGGGGACCGGUUUGGUUUNUGUGCCGUAGCUAACGCAUUAAGCGCCCCGCCUGGGGAGUACGGCCGCAAGGCUAAAACUCAAAGGAAUUGACGGGGGCCCGCACAAGCGGCGGGGCAUGUGGAUUAAUUCGAUGCAACGCGAAGAACCUUACCUGGGUUUGACAUGCACCAGACGGUUGUAGAGAUACGUACCUCCCUUUGUGGUUGGUGUGCAGGUGGUGCAUGGUUGUCGUCAGCUCGUGUCGUGAGAUGUUGGGUUAAGUCNNNNNNNNANNNNNNNNCCUUGUCUUAUGUUGCCAGCACUUUGGGUGGGGACUCAUGAGAGACUGCCGGGGUUAACUCNNNNGAAGGUGGGGAUGACGUCAAAUCAUCAUGCCCUUUAUGCCCAGGGCUUCACACAUGCUACAAUGGUUAGUACAACGCGCUGCGAACCUGUGAGGGUGAGCGAAUCGCUGAAAGCUAAUCUCAGUUCGGAUUGGGGUCUGCAACUCGACCCCAUGAAGUCGGAGUCGCUAGUAAUCGCAGAUCAGCAAUGCUGCGGUGAAUACGUUCCCGGGCCUUGUACNC
rnacentral:rRNA from 1 species